CAUACCAGCACUAAUGCAGCGGAUCCCAUCAGAACUCCGCAGUUAAGCGUGCUUGGGCGAGAGUAGUACUAGGAUGGGUGACCUCCUGGGAAGUCCUCGUGUUGCACCCC
rnacentral:rRNA from 1 species